ensembl:snRNA U6 U6 spliceosomal RNA
GUGCUCACUUCAGCAGCAGAUGUACCAAAAUUGGAAAGUUACGGAGAUGACCAGGGUGCCACGCAAGGAUGAUACACACAUUCAUGAAGUCUUCCAUAUUCUU